CAAUGGCCACUUUCCUCUUCUCUCUCCUCCGCCUCUCGUUUUGUCUCUUCUUGCGCGCCGUCUACUCGCUUUUAUGGCUCCCGCACCGGACCCAUCUCCACUUCCUCCGCCAGGGCGUCCUAGGCCCGCCCCGCCGCCCGCUCGCAGGCAACGCCGCCGACGUCCGCCGACUUUACGCAGCCGCUCAGGCGGCGCCGCUGCCGGUCUUUAGCCACGACGUGGCCGGGCGCGUGGUGCCCCACUACGCGGAGUGGUCGGCCCGUUUCGGCCGGACGUUCGUGUACUGGUUCGGGACGCGGCCGCGGCUUGCGGUGGUAGAGCCGGAGCUGGCGCGGGCGGUGCUGACGGAUCCCACCGGCGUCGGCGCGACAGCUGUUCGGGGAGGGGCUGGUGGGGCUCAAGGGGACCAAAUGGGCCCACCACCGGCGAGUGCUCACCCCGGCCUUCAACAUGGAGCGCCUCAAGCGUUGGGUACCUGCGAUUGCCAGUAGCACAUCAAGCAUGUUAGAUGAAUGGGAAGCGCGGGAUGAGAACAGAUUUGAGUUUGAGAUAGAUGUAAAUAAAGAGUUUCAUGCCUUCACAGCAGAAGUCAUUUCUCAAGUGGCAUUUGGAAGUAGCUAUGAGGAGGGAAAGCAAAAUUUUCAAUUACAAGAAGAACAAAUGCUACUUGUUUCUCUUGCACUAAGAAGUGUGUAUAUUCCAGGGUUCAGGUUCGUACCUACAAUGAAGAAUAAAAAAAGAUGGAGGCUGAAUAAGGAAAUACGGAACUCUUUGAGAAAGUUGAUCGAAAUCAAUGGCAACGAGUGUGAAAGUUCUAGGAACUUGCUUGGUCUAAUGAUUUUAGCUAAUAAGAAUGAUGAGGAAGAGAAAAUGGGGAUUGAAGAAAUUAUAGAUGAGUGCAAAACAUUCUACUUUGCUGGGAAGGAAACAACAGCGAACUUUUUGACAUGGGUAAUUCUUCUUCUUGCGUUGCAUGAAGAUUGGCAGAAGAAGGCUCGAGAAGAAGUUGUUUGUGUUUUUGGCCUCCAUAAACAUCCAAAUGCAGAAGGCUUAGGCAAUCUUAAGAUUGUAAGCAUGGUGCUGAAGGAAACUCUCAGAUUGUAUCCACCUGCUGUGGCGCUCAAUAGGCUAACCACAAGGAGUGUCAAACUAGGCAAUCUUGAUGUCCCAUCAGGCACACACAUUUACAUUCCGCAAGUCGUCAUUCAUCAUGAUGUUGAAGUAUGGGGAAGUGAUGCCAAUGAAUUCAAUCCGUCGAGGUUUGCAGAUGGUAAAGGACACCAUCUUGGUGCCUUCCUUCCCUUUGGGAUAGGGUCCACGGUGUGUAUUGGCCAAAAUCUAGCACUUCUUGAAGCUAAAGUUGCUCUUGCAAUGAUUCUCCAGCGGUUCGAGUUCACUGUCUCACCCUCUUAUGUUCAUGCCCCCAUGCUGCUGAUGACACUCCAGCCUCAGUACGGUGCGCAAGUUCUCAUGCGAAAGAUUUGAUGCGUUGUUCCGUCUUUACUUGCGUCGAAUGGCAUGUAAAUUUUCCAGAAAUGUUAACUGGAAAUGUAUUUACUUGUGGAUCACCUAAACUUAAUUUGCAUGCGACAUUAUUAAUAUCAAACAUUUGCUGGUAAGCAGCUUGUUGGAAUUUGGACUUGGUGUUCCUAUCGAACCUUUGUCCAGAUCAGAUGAAUAUACAGAAGAAAUAUUUUACUUGUUUUUA